CGUGUAGGCGGCUUGGCAAGUCGGGUGUGAAAUCCCGGGGCUCAACCCCGGAACUGCAUUCGAUACUGCCUCGCUAGAGUCCCGGAGAGGAGGGCGGAAUUCCCGGUGUAGAGGUGAAAUUCGUAGAUAUCGGGAGGAACACCAGUGGCGAAGGCGGCCCUCUGGACGGUGACUGACGCUGAGAUGCGAAAGCGUGGGGAGCAAACAGGAUUAGAUACCCUGGUAGUCCACGCUGUAAACGUUGGGUGCUAGGUGUCGCGGGUAUUGACCCCUGCGGUGCCGACGCUAACGCAUUUAGCACCCCGCCUGGGGAGUACGGUCGCAAGGCUAAA
rnacentral:rRNA from 1 species